GACGAAGAACGUAGUGAAAUGCGAUAAGUAAUGUGAAUUGCAGAAUUCAGUGAAUCAUCGAAUCUUUGAACGCACAUUGCGCCCAUUAGUAUUCUAGUGGGCAUGCCUGUUCGAGCGUCAUUAAUUCCACUUAAGCCCUGCUUAGUGUUGGGAAUCUACUCUAGUGGUGCUACCCUGGAGCUACCCCUGAAAGGGGGCUGGCCCGGUAGCUACCCUGUAGUUCCUCAAAGAUAGUGCGCGGAGUUGCGUGGUCCUCUGAGCUUAGUAACUAUACACCUAGCUUUUGAGUGUCCCGCGGCGCCUGCCGUUUAAACCCCAUCUUUUAAUGGUUGACCUCGGAUCAGGUAGGAAUACCCGCUGAACUUAAGCAUAUCAAUAAGCGGAGGA
rnacentral:misc_RNA from 1 species